CACCCGUUUCUUUUUACUUUUAUAAAUGCAGCUAGUAGCAAUUUUUUUUUUUUUUUGAGACAGAGUCCUGCUCUGUCGCCCAGGCUAGAGUGCAGUGGCGCGGUCUCGGCUCACCACAACCUCCGCCUCCUGGGUUCAAGCAAUUCUCCUGCCCCAGCCUACGGAGUAGCUGGGAUUACAGGCAUGCGCCACCAUGCCUGGCUAAUUUUAUAUUUUUAGUAGAGACAGGGUUUCUCCAUGUCAGUCAGGCUAGUCUUGAACUCCUGACCUCAGAGGAUCCACCCACCUCUGCCUCCUACAGUGCUGGGAUUACAGGCGUGAACCACUGUGCCUGGCUGGCUUAUGUAUUUCUAUAUUCUAUUCUACAGCACUGCUACAGAGGUAGCCUCCACUCAUACCACAUAAUUAUGAAAGCCAUCAGAUUCUGGAAGACAGACUCCAAGCUGCAAUUGCUGUAAGUCAAGUAAUCCCUCUUCUCCCUCUUUUCUGCCCUUAACAUGCACAUUUAUUUUCCUUUUAUUAUUGGAUUCCCUGAAUGGAAACAUCUGUCCACUAUUACUGCAGAAGGCUGGGCUGUCCCAUGGUGACUGUCUGGUGUCCAGGCUUGAGUACCCUAUUUUCUGUUUUGUUGGUUGUCCUGUACAGUGUUGAUUAAUUUCUGUGUCUGGGGAAGUCUAGGAGUAGGGGAUGGGGCUGGGUGAUGCUGACAACACCAAGAAAAGCUCAGGAGAUGUGUCAAUGUGUUUGCAGAGUCUAAAGAGAUACCUUCCUUCCUUCUCUUUUGAUUUGACAAUGCCGCCUUACCAAAACUUUUCCUGUUCCUCCUGCAGAUUUGUGGGUUUUAUUUUUUAUAGAGACAGGGUCCCACUGUGUUGCCCAGGCUGGUCUCAAACUCCUGGGCUUAAUUGAUCCUCCUGCCUCAGCCUCCCAAAGUGCUAGGAUUAUAGGUGUAAGCCACCACACUCAGCCACAUUUGGGGUUUUAAAUUUAAUUUUAUAUUUAUUUUAAUUAAUUAUUUUGAGAUAGAG
rnacentral:lncRNA from 10 species